rnacentral:rRNA from 1 species
UACGGAGGGUGCAAGCGUUAUCCGGAUUCACUGGGUUUAAAGGGUGCGUAGGUGGGUCUGUAAGUCAGUGGUGAAAUCUUCGAGCUUAACUCGGAAACUGCCAUUGAUACUAUAGAUCUUGUAAUUUUCUGGAGGUAAGCGGAAUAUGUCAUGUAGCGGUGAAAUGCUUAGAUAUGACAUAGAACACCAAUUGCGAAGGCAGCUUACUACGGGAACAUUGACACUGAGGCACGAAAGCGUGGGGAUCAAACAGG